UACAACAUAUCGUUAAUGCACCGGAUCCCAUUAGAACUCCACAGUUAAGCGCACUCAAGAUAUAGUAGUACUGGGAUGGGUGACCUCCCGGGAAGUCCUAGUGUUUUAC
rnacentral:rRNA from 1 species